GACGAACGCUGGCGGCGUGCCUAAUACAUGCAAGUCGACCUUAGUGGCGGACGGGUGAGUAACACGUGGGUAACCUGCCCAUCAGAAGGGGAUAACACUUGGAAACAGGUGCUAAUACCGCAUACUGAUGGAUGGACCCGCGGUGCAUUAGCUAGUUGGUGAGGUAACGGCUCACCAAGGCCACGAUGCAUAGCCGACCUGAGAGGGGGAUCGGCCACAUUGGGACUGAGACACGGCCCAGACUCCUACGGGAGGCAGCAGUAGGGAAUCUUCGGCAAUGGACGAAAGUCUGACCGAGCAACGCCGCGUGAGUGAAGAAGGUUUUCGGAUCGUAAAACUCUGUUGUUAGAGAAGCGGUAUCUAACCAGAAAGCCACGGCUAACUACGUGCCAGCAGCCGCGGUAAUAC
rnacentral:rRNA from 1 species